rnacentral:rRNA from 1 species
ACCUUCGAGUGGGGAAUAACGUUCGGAAACGGACGCUAAUACCGCAUAACGCAGCGGCAUCGCAAGAUGACAGUUGUUAAAGGAGCAAUCCGCUUGAAGAGGAGCUUGCGGCAGAUUAGCUAGUUGGUAAGGUAACGGCUUACCAAGGCUACGAUCUGUAUCCGGUCUAAGAGGACGGUCGGACACACUGACACUGAAUAACGGGUCAGACUCCUACGGGAGGCAGCAGUCGGGAAUUUUGGGCAAUGGGCGAAAGCCUGACCCAGCAACGCCGCGUGAAGGAUGAAGUAUUUCGGUAUGUAAACUUCGAAAGAAUAGGAAGAAUAAAUGACGGUACUAUUUAUAAGCUCCGGCUAACUACGUGCCAGCAGCCGCGGUAAUACGUAGGGAGCAAGCGUUGUUCGGAUUUACUGGGCGUAAAGGGCGCGUAGGCGGCGCUGUAAGUCACUUGUGAAAUCUCUGAGCUUAACUCAGAACGGCCAAGUGAUACUGCAGUGCUAGAGUGCAGAAGGGGCAAUCGGAAUUCUUGGUGUAGCGGUGAAAUGCGUAGAUAUCAAGAGGAACACCUGAGGUGAAGACGGGUUGCUAGGCUGACACUGACGCUGAGGCGCGAAAGCCAGGGGAGCAAACGGGAUUAGAUACCCCGGUAGUCCUGGCCCUAAACGAUGAAUACUUGGUGUCUGGAGUUUCAAUACUCCGGGUGCCGUCGCUAACGUUUUUAGUAUUCCGCCUGGGGAGUACGCUCGCAGAGUG